rnacentral:rRNA from 1 species
GCNNGUCGAACGGCAGCACGGGGGCAACCCUGGUGGCGAGUGGCGAACGGGUGAGUAAUAUAUCGGAACAUAUCCGGAAGUGGGGGAUAACGUACCGAAAGGUACGCUAAUACCGCAUAUGCCCUGAGGGGGAAAGGAGGGGAUCCGUAAGGACCUUUCGCUUUCGGAGUGGCCGAUAUCGGAUUAGCUAGUUGGUGAGGUAAAGGCUCACCAAGGCGACGAUCCGUAGCUGGUCUGAGAGGACGACCAGCCACACUGGAACUGAGACACGGUCCAGACUCCUACGGGAGGCAGCAGUGGGGAAUUUUGGACAAUGGGGGCAACCCUGAUCCAGCCAUUCCGCGUGAGUGAAGAAGGCCUUCGGGUUGUAAAGCUCUUUCAGCCGGAAAGAAACGGUUACGAAUAAUACUCGUGACUAAUGACGGUACCGGCAGAAGAAGCACCGGCUAACUACGUGCCAGCAGCCGCGGUAAUACGUAGGGUGCGAGCGUUAAUCGGAAUUACUGGGCGUAAAGCGUGCGCAGGCGGUUUGGUAAGACAGACGUGAAAUCCCCGGGCUUAACCUGGGAACUGCGUUUGUGACUGCCAGACUAGAGUGCGGCAGAGGGGGGUAGAAUUCCACGUGUAGCAGUGAAAUGCGUAGAUAUGUGGAGGAAUACCGAUGGCGAAGGCAGCCCCCUGGGUCGACACUGACGCUCAUGCACGAAAGCGUGGGGAGCAAACAGGAUUAGAUACCCUGGUAGUCCACGCCCUAAACGAUGUCAACUAGGUGUUGGGGAAGGAGACUUCUUUAGUACCGCAGCUAACGCGAUAAGUUGACCGCCUGGGGAGUACGGUCGCAAGANUAAAACUCAAAGGAAUUGACGGGGACCCGCACAAGCGGUGGNNUAUGUGGNUUAAUUCNAUGCAACGCGAAAACCUUACCUACCCUUGACNU